AGAAAGAGAGUUCAUAACAUAUAAAACAUUUUCAAAAGAAGAGUAGAAAUGAAUUCCAGCAACAGCAAUGGUCCAGGAUUGAGCAAGAAUGAAAGUUUGAUUCCCAAAGGAAAGCAGCAUGUUUCAACAAUGAUGGGAAAGAAAAUGGCUGAGGCUGCGAAGAAAGUAGCAAAAUCGACAGUCACGGCUGCCAAGAAGCACAACGACAAGGCAAAGAUAAAUGCCGGUAACUAGAAUUCCGGAUGAGCAUAGUGCCAAAUUCGAAAGCUAUAGUUUUUUAUUGUCUUGUUUGUAUAAUGUAAUAUAUAUACAUGUAACAAAGGAAUAACAGUGAUAAAAUGACGUGUGUGUGUGUGUGUUUAUGUAACAUUUAUAUAAAAGUUGUACUGUGUUUACUAUUAGUAAAUAUCUACC
rnacentral:lncRNA from 1 species